UACACUGGGCUUCCCCACAGAGGAAUGGUGGU
rnacentral:piRNA from 1 species